UACGUAGGGUGCGAGCGUUGUCCGGAAUUACUGGGCGUAAAGAGCUCGUAGGUGGUUUGUCGCGUUGUUCGUGAAAACUCACAGCUUAACUGUGGGCGUGCGGGCGAUACGGGCAGACUGGAGUACUGCAGGGGAGAAUGGAAUUCCUGGUGUAGCGGUGGAAUGCGCAGAUAUCAGGAGGAACACCGGUGGCGAAGGCGGGUCUCUGGGCAGUAACUGACGCUGAGGAGCGAAAGCGUGGGGAGCGAACAGG
rnacentral:rRNA from 1 species